rnacentral:rRNA from 1 species
UACGGAGGGUGCGAGCGUUGUCCGGAAUCAUUGGGCGUAAAGGGCGCGUAGGUGGCCCGGUAAGCGUGCGGUGAAAGCUCGGGGCUCAACCCCGAGUCGGCCGUGCGAACUGCUGGGCUUGAGCACUGUAGAGGCAGGCGGAAUUCCGGGUGUAGCGGUGGAAUGCGUAGAGAUCCGGAAGAACACCGGUGGCGAAGGCGGCCUGCUGGGCAGUGGCUGACACUGAGGCGCGACAGCGUGGGGAGCAAACAGG